AUUGAACGCUGGCGGCAGGCCUAACACAUGCAAGUCGAACGAGUGGCGGACGUGUGAGUAAUGUCUGGGAAACUGCCUGAUGGAGGGGGAUAACUACUGGACACGGUAGCUAAUACCGCCUACCAUCUGGUGUUCCCAGCUGGGAUUAGCUAGUAGGUGGGGUAACGGCUCACCUACGCGACGAUCCCUAGCUGGUCUGAGAGGAUGACCAGCCACACUGGAACUGAGACACGGUCCAGACUCCUACGGGAGGCAGCAGUGGGGAAUAUUGCACAAUGGGCGCAAGCCUGAUGCAGCCAUGCCGCGGGUAUGAAGAAGGCCUUCGGGUGGUAAAGUACUUUCAGCGGGGAGGCGUUACCCGCAGAAGAAGCACCGGCUAACUCCGUGCCAGCAGCCGCGGUAAUAC
rnacentral:rRNA from 1 species